rnacentral:rRNA from 1 species
GAUGAACGCUAGCUACAGGCUUAACACAUGCAAGUCGAGGGACCGGCGCACGGGUGAGUAACACGUAUCCAACCUGCCCUUUACUCGGGGAUAGCCUUUCGAAAGAAAGAUUAAUACCCGAUAUAAAGGAUGGGGAUGCGUUACAUUAGGUUGUUGGUGAGGUAACGGCUCACCAAGCCUUCGAUGGUGAGGGGUUCUGAGAGUAAGGUCCACGAGAAUGGAAAGGCGGCACAGACCAAACUCGUACGGAAGGGAGGAGUGAGGAAUAGUGGGCAAUGAAGGCUAGCCUGAAACAGCCAAGUAGGGUGAAAAAUGAAGGCGUAUGGAUCGUAAAUUUCUGGUAAAUAAGAAUAGGUAUUAUAUGAGUAAGGAUCGGCUAACUCCGUGCCAGCAGCCGCGGUAAUUC